rnacentral:rRNA from 1 species
GACAGAGGGGGCAAGCGUUGCUCGGAAUUACUGGGCGUAAAGGGCGCGUAGGCGGGAUGGCAAGUCGGUCGUGAAAUCCCUCGGCUCAACUGAGGAGCGUCGAUCGAAACUGCCGUUCUUGAGGGUUGCAGAGGAGACUGGAAUUCCAGGUGUAGCGGUGAAAUGCGUAGAUAUCUGGAGGAACACCGGUGGCGAAGGCGGCGUCCUGGACCAACACUGACACUGAUGAGCGAAAGCCAGGGGAGCAAACGGG